GACGAACGCUGGCGGCGUGCUUAACACAUGCAAGUCGAACGGAAAGGCCCUGCUUUUGUGGGGUGCUCGAGCGGCGAACGGGUGAGUAACACGUGAGUAACCUGCCCUUGACUUUGGGAUAACUUCAGGAAACUGGGGCUAAUACCGGAUAGGAGCUCCUGCUGCAUGGUGGGGGUUGGAAAGUUUCGGCGGUUGGGGAUGGACUCGCGGCUUAUCAGCUUGUUGGUGGGGUAGUGGCUUACCAAGGCUUUGACGGGUAGCCGGCCUGGGAGGGUGACCGGCCACAUUGGGACUGAGAUACGGCCCAGACUCCUACGGGAGGCAGCAGUGGGGAAUAUUGCACAAUGGGCGGAAGCCUGAUGCAGCAACGCCGCGUGCGGGAUGACGGCCUUCGGGUUGUAAACCGCUUUCGCCUGUGACGAAGCGGGAGUGACGGUAAUGGGUAAAGAAGCACCGGCUAACUACGUG
rnacentral:rRNA from 1 species